rnacentral:rRNA from 1 species
GUGCCAGCAGCCGCGGUAAUUCCAGCUCCAAUAGCGUAUAUUAAAGUUGUUGUGGUUAAAAAGCUCGUAGUUGGAUCUCGGCGGACUGAGGGCGGUUUGCUUGCUAGUAUUACUGCCCUAUAGUCCGUAGUUUUGCCAGAGGUUUCGGGGUGCUCUUAAUCGAGUGUCCCGGGAUGCUGGCAGGUUUACUUUGAAAAAAUUAGAGUGCUCAAAGCAGGCUAUUACGCCUGAAUAUUCGUGCAUGGAAUAAUAGAAUAGGAAGUUGUUUCUAUUUUGUUGGUUUUCGGAAAUCGACUUAAUGAUUAAUAGGGACAGUCGGGGGCAUUUGUAUUCAAACGACAGAGGUGAAAUUCUUGGACCGUUUGAAGACAAACUACUGCGAAAGCAUUUGCCAAGAAUGUUUUCAUUAAUCAAGAACGAAAGUUAAAGGUUCGAAGGCGAUUAGAUACCGCCCUAGUUUUAACCAUAAACGAUGCCAGCUAGCGAUCUGCGGACGUUUUUUUUGUAGACUCCGCAGGAAGCUUCCGGGAAACCAAAGCAUUUGGGUUCCAGGGGAAGUAUGGUUGCAAAGCUGAAACUUAAAGGAAUUGACGGAAGGGCACCACCAGGAGUGGAGCCUGUGGCUUAAUUUGACUCAACACGGGAAAUCUCACCAGGCCCGGACACUGGAAGGAUUGACAGAUUGAUAGCUCUUUCUUGAUUCGUGGGUGGUGGUGCAUGGCCGUUCUUA